CUCAAAUAAAAUUUAAAGUCUGAAUUUUUAGAAGUUCUAAAACAUGGGAUUUUAAGUCAGAGCCAGAUUCAUCAAAUACCUCAUAUAAGAAGUCCAGAUCAGGUCUGCCUGCUAGUUGUAGCAGUUGCUAAUUAAACAAAGGUAGUUUCAAUUUUAUUCAAGUAUUAACCUAAGACUUGCCUAGGCGUAGUACUGUCAUCCUAUGAGCAUGAUAUCUAGAGAGAUAUUGUAAACAGUGAUUAAUU
rnacentral:lncRNA from 1 species